rnacentral:rRNA from 1 species
AGCGCAGGCGGACCGGCAAGUUGGAAGUGAAAUCCAUGGGCUCAACCCGUGAAUUGCUUUCAAAACUGCUGGCCUUGAGUAGUGCAGAGGUAGGUGGAAUUCCCGGUGUAGCGGUGGAAUGCGUAGAUAUCGGGAGGAACACCAGUGGCGAAGGCGACCUACUGGGCACCAACUGACGCUGAGGCUCGAAAGCAUGGGUAGCAAACA